UCCUAGCCCCGAUAGAAAUGAAAAUCCUUUUGUUGGAAAACAAAAGAUUGCAAUGGAUAGCGGGAAACAGC
rnacentral:sRNA from 1 species